UACAGAGGUCCCGAGCGUUGUUCGGAUUCAUUGGGCGUAAAGGGUGCGUAGGCGGCGGGGUAAGUUUGAUGUGAAAUUCCGGGGCUCAACCCUGGCAUGGCAUUGAACACUACCUUGCUAGAGUACCGGAGAGGAAACUGGAAUUUACGGUGUAGCAGUGAAAUGCGUAGAGAUCGUAAGGAAGACCAGUGGCGAAGGCGAGUUUCUGGACGGUAACUGACGCUGAGGCACGAAGGCCAGGGGAGCAAACGGG
rnacentral:rRNA from 1 species